rnacentral:rRNA from 1 species
AGCAGCCGCGGUAAUUCCAGCUCCAAUAGCGUAUAUUAAAGUUGUUGCAGUUAAAAAGCUCGUAGUUGAAUUUCGGGAUCAAUAUAUUGGUCGUGCCUCCGGUACGUACUGGUAUCGUUGAUUUCUACCUUCUGACGAACUAUGAUGUCAUUAAUUUGGUGUCAUGGGAAAUCAGGACUGUUACUUUGAAAAAAUUAGAGUGUUUAAAGCAGGCACACGCUUGAAUACAUUAGCAUGGAAUAAUGAAAUAGGACGUUUGACCCUAUUUUGUUGGUUUCUAGGAUCGACGUAAUGAUUAAUAGGGAUAGUUGGGGGCAUUAGUAUUCAAUUGUCAGAGGUGAAAUUCUUGGAUUUAUUGAAGACUAACUACUGCGAAAGCAUUUGCCAAGGAUGUUUUCAUUAAUCAAGAACGAAAGUUAGGGGAUCGAAGACGAUCAGAUACCGUCGUAG